rnacentral:rRNA from 1 species
CCUACGGGAGGCAGCAGUGGGGAAUAUUGCACAAUGGGGGAAACCCUGAUGCAGCGACGCCGCGUGAGUGAAGAAGUAUCUCGGUACGUAAAGCUCUAUCAGCAGGGAAGAAAAUGACGGUACCUGACUAAGAAGCCCCGGCUAACUACGUGCCCGCAGCCGCAGUAAUACGUAGGGGGCAAGCGUUAUCCGGAUUUACUGGGUGUAAAGGGAGCGUAGACGGCGGUACAAGUCUGGAGUGAAAUCCCGGGGCUUAACCCCGGAACUGCCGUGGAAACUGGGCGGCUAGAGUGCAGGUGGGGUAAGAGGAAUGUGUAGUGUAGCGGUGAAAUGCGUAGAUAUUAGGAGGAACACCGGUGGCGAAGGCAGCUGACGGGACUGUAAUUGACGUUGAUGCUCGAAAGCGUGGGGAGCGAACAGGAUUAGAUACCCGGGUAGUC